rnacentral:tRNA from 1 species
CCCCGCGUGAUGAAACUGGUAGACGUGCUGGACUCAAAAUCCUGUGGAGAAAUCCGUGUUGGUUCGAAUCCGACCGCGGGGACCA